GAUGAAGAACGUAGCGAAAUGCGAUAAGUAAUGUGAAUUGCAGAAUUCAGUGAACCAUCGAAUCUUUGAACGCACAUUGCGCCCGGCAGUAAUCUGCCGGGCAUGCCUGUCCGAGCGUCAUUUCUGCCCUCGAGCGAGUCCAGCAUCUAGGUGCUGGGCCCGCCCGGCGUUGGGGCACUACGGGAAGCCCUGUGCUGUCCCCCGUAGGCCCCGAAAUGAAGUGGCGGUCCUGCCGCGGCGCCCCCUGCGUAGUAUAACAGCUCGCUUCGGGACGCGGUGGAGGCCUGCCGUCAAACCUUACUCUCUAAGUUUGACCUCGGAUCAGGUAGGGUUACCCGCUGAACUUAAGCAUAUCAAUAAGCGGAGGA
rnacentral:misc_RNA from 1 species